AUACGGAGGGUGCGAGCGUUAAUCGGAAUUACUGGGCGUAAAGCGUACGUAGGCGGUUUGCUAAGUCAGAUGUGAAAGCCCCGGGCUUAACCUGGGAACUGCAUUUGAUACUGGCAGACUAGAGUAUGAUAGAGGGGGGUAGAAUUCCUGGUGUAGAGGUGAAAUGCGUAGAUAUCAGGAGGAAUACCAGUGGCGAAGGCGGCCCCCUGGAUCAAUACUGACGCUGAGGUACGAAAGCGUGGGGAGCGAACAGGAUUAGAAACCCCAGUAGUCC
rnacentral:rRNA from 1 species